CGCGGCCCGCAAGGGAGUGAGGAAAGUCCGGACACCGCAGGGCAGAAGACCGGGUAAUUCCCGGGAGCCGGGUUGGAGACGAUCCGGCUACGGAAAGUGCCACAGAAAAGAUACCGCCUGGUUUGCCAGGUAAGGGUGAAAUGGUGAGGUAAGAGCUCACCGCGCCAAUUGCAAGAUUGGCGGCAGGGUAAACCCUCUUCGGUGCAAUCUCAAGUAAGCAGCCAUCAAGGUUGGCCCGACCACGGCUGUGGGUGGAGAGCAAAGAACUUCGAAGCGAUUCGAAGGCAAGAUAAAUGACGAUGCUCGACAGAAUCCGGCUUACAGGUGCA
rnacentral:RNase_P_RNA from 1 species